UAACAAGAAAGGACCGAGUUCCUUUCUUUGAGGGGGACCGGUAUGCAACAGCUGCAUACAGCAGCCUUUUGGGUAGUGUACACAGCCUGUUGCUUGUAUAGGCUGCCCUAGGUGACCCUGGAGACAGCC